rnacentral:rRNA from 1 species
UACAGAGGGUGCAAGCGUUAAUCGGAAUUACUGGGCGUAAAGCGCGCGUAGACGGUUAUAUAAGUCGGGUGUGAAAGCCCCGGGCUCAACCUGGGAAUUGCAUUCGAGACUGUGUAGCUAGGGUGCGGAAGAGGGAAGCGGAAUUUCCGGUGUAGCGGUGAAAUGCGUAGAUAUUCGGAAGAACACCAGUGGCGAAGGCGGCUCACUGGACUGGUAUUGACGCUGAGGUGCGAAAGCGUGGGGAGCAAACAGG